rnacentral:rRNA from 1 species
GAUGAACGCUGGCGGCGUGCCUAAUACAUGCAAGUCGAGCGAACGGACGAGAAGCUUGCUUCUCUGAUGUUAGCGGCGGACGGGUGAGUAACACGUGGAUAACCUACCUAUAAGACUGGGAUAACUUCGGGAAACCGUAGCUAAUACCGGAUAAUAUUUUGAACCGCAUGGUUCAAAAGUGAAAGACGGUCUUGCUGUCACUUAUAGCUGGAUCCGCGCUGCAUUAGCUAGUUGGUAAGGUAACGGCUUACCAAGGCAACGAUGCAUAGCCGACCUGAGAGGGUGAUAGGCCACACUGGAGCUGAGACACGGUCCAGACUCCUACGGGAGGCAGCAGUAGGGAAUCUUCCGCAAUGGGCGAAAGCCUGACGGAGCAACGCCGCGUGAGCGAUGAAGGUCUUCGGAUCGUAAAACUCUGUUAUUAGGGAAGAACAGAUGUGUAAGUAACUGUGCACAUCUUGACGGUAACUAAUCAGAAAGCCACGGCUAACUACGUG